rnacentral:other from 1 species
AGAAGUCUGCAGUGUUCGUUAUUCUUAUAUAAUUCAACCGACAUAUUUUAUAUGGGAACCCGACUGUUUGGCGUUGGAUAACAUGCCUAGUAAGCUAGGUAGUUAGAAAACGCCAACAGGGUACCCACCUGCAUCAGUGCGGGUGUGAAUUAAUAAAGAAGACGGCACUGCGGAUUUUUA